rnacentral:rRNA from 1 species
UACGUAGGGUGCGAGCUUUGUCCGGAAUUAUUGGGCGUAAAGGGCUCGUAGGCGGUUUGUCACGUCAGGAGUGAAAACUCGGGGCUCAACCCCGAGCCUGCUUCUGAUACGGGCAGACUAGAGGUAUGCAGGGGAGAACGGAAUUCCUGGUGUAGCGGUGAAAUGCGCAGAUAUCAGGAGGAACACCGGUGGCGAAGGCGGUUCUCUGGGCCGAUACUGACGCUGAGGAGCGAAAGCGUGGGGAGCGAACAGG